UUGAACGCUGGCGGCAGGCCUAACACAUGCAAGUCGAGCGCGAAAGGUUUUCGGACUGAGUAAAGCGGCGGACGGGUGAGUAAGGCGCGGGAAUCUGCCCAGUAGUGGGGGACAACAGUCGGAAACGACUGCUAAUACCGCAUACGCCCUACGGGGGAAAGGGGGGGUCUUAGGACCUCUAGCUAUUGGGUGGGCCCGCGUCGGAUUAGCUAGUUGGGAGGGUAAAGGCCUACCAAGGCUACGAUCCGUAACUGGUCUGAGAGGAUGAUCAGUCACACUGGAACUGAGACACGGUCCAGACUCCUACGGGAGGCAGCAGUGGGGAAUAUUGGACAAUGGGGGCAACCCUGAUCCAGCCAUGCCGCGUGUGUGAAGAAGGCCUUAGGGUUGUAAAGCACUUUCAGUGGGGAGAAAGGUUUGUCACCUAAUACGUGAUGAAAUUGAUGUUACCCACAGAAGAAGCACCGGCUAACUCCGUGCCAGCCGCCGCCGUAA
rnacentral:rRNA from 1 species